rnacentral:rRNA from 1 species
UACGGGGGGAGCAAGCGUUGUUCGGAUUUACUGGGCGUAAAGGGCGCGUAGGCGGUCAGCACAAGUCAGUUGUGAAAUCUCCGGGCUUAACUCGGAAAGGUCAACUGAUACUGUGCGACUAGAGUGCAGAAGGGGCAACUGGAAUUCUCGGUGUAGCGGUGAAAUGCGUAGAUAACGAGAGGAACACCUGCGGCGAAGGCGGGUUGCUGGGCUGACACUGACGCUGAUGCGCGAAAGCCAGGGGAGCGAACGGG